rnacentral:rRNA from 1 species
GAACGAGGUUUGAUACCUGGCGUCAGGAUAAACGACUGGCGGCGCACAUAAGACAUGCAAGUCGAACGACGUUAACUCAUUCUUUUAGAUUGAGAGCGGUUAGUGGCGGACGUGUGAGUAACACGUAAGCCAACCUGCCUAUCAGAGGGGAAUACAAGUGACGAAAUCAUUGCUAAUACCGCAUAUGCUCACAGUAUCACAUGAUACAGUGAGGAAAGGAGUAAUCCGCUGAUAGAUGGGGCUUGCGUCUGAUUAGUUAGUUGGUGGGGUAACGGCCUACCAAGACUACGAUCAGUAGCCGGACUGAGAGGUUGAACGGCCACAUUGGGACUGAGAUACGGCCCAGACUCCUACGGGAGGCAGCAGUCGGGAAUAUUGCGCAAUGGAGGAAACUCUGACGCAGUGACGCCGCGUAUAGGAAGAAGGUUUUCGGAUUGUAAACUAUUGUCACUAGGGAAGAUAAAAGACUGUACCUAAGGGGGAAGCCCCGGCUAACUAUGUG